rnacentral:tRNA from 1 species
AGGUGUUUAACUCAGUUGGUAGAGUAUCGUGUUUACACCACGGAGGUCGAAAGUUCGAUUCUUUCAGCNCCUA